rnacentral:rRNA from 1 species
GCGGAGGAAAAGAAAAUAACAAUGAUAUCCCUAGUAACGGCGAGUGAAGAGGAUAGAGCUCAAAGUUGGAACCUGCUUGGUGUAGCUAAGCCGGAUUGUAAACUAGAGAAGUGUUUUCCUGGCUGGCCGAGUAAAAAAGUCCUUUGGAACAGGGCAUCAUAGAGGGUGAGAAUCCCGUCUUUGGCUCGAGCAUUAGUCUUUUGUGAUACAUUUUCAAUGAGUCAGGUUGUUUGGGAAUGCAGCCUAAAUUGGGAGGUAAAUCUCUCCUAAAGCUAAAUAUUUGCGAGAAACCGAUAGCGAACAAGUACCGUGAGGGAAAGAUGAAAAGAACUUUGAAAAGAGAGUUAAACAGUAUGUGAAAUUGUUAAAAGGGAACCGUUUGGAGCCAGUCUGGCUUUCCUAUAAUCAAUCUAGGCUUCGGCCUUGAUGCACUUGUAGGUUAUCGCCGGCCAACGACAAUUGGGAUCGCGAGGGAAAAAACCUUUGGAAAUGUAGCCAUUCUGCAAAGUUUGGUGUUAUAGUCCUUGGGAAAAUACCUUGUGCUCGAUUGAGGAUCGCAGUGAAUGCCUUUCGGGGCAGGAUGUGGUGAGGUAGGUUUGCUUGACCUAAGGUGACUUUCGGGUUGCUUUAGCGAUGGCUUACU